GACGAACGCUGGCGGCGUGCUUAACACAUGCAAGUCGAGCGAGAAAAAGUCUUCGGACUUUUUCUAGCGGCGGACGGGUGAGUAACACGUGGGCAACCUGCCUGGUAGAGGGGGAUAGCCUUCCGAAAGGAAGAUUAAUACCGCAUAACAUGAUUUCAGGGCAUCCUGAAACCAUCAAAGGAGCAAUCCGCUAUCAGAUGGGCCCGCGUCCCAUUAGCUAGUUGGUGAGGUAACGGCUCACCAAGGCGACGAUGCGUAGCUGUGCUGAGAGGCAAAACAGCCACACUGGGACUGAGACACGGCCCAGACUCCUACGGGAGCAGCAGUAGGGAAUUUUCGGCAAA
rnacentral:rRNA from 1 species